rnacentral:lncRNA from 1 species
UUUGCACUGUCUGAUUUGAGCCAGUUCUCCUCCCCACCCCUCACAGUGGCAUUUUCAGGAUUCUACCGCUUGGUGGCUGUCCCCAGAAGACACUUCCCUGGGUCCUGGCAGUUAAGCAAGGCUUGUCGGGCUCCAGGGAAAGGGGUGCUGCUUUUGGCAUCCUCCUCAAGCCCAGGAGCUGACAGCAAAGGUCUUGUUCAUUCUGCUCUGCUGGAGUGAAGACUGUUGCCAAACCAGAGCGCUCGUUUUUAUUGUUUUUCUAGAACAACAGGACUGUUAUUACAAGUGUUCUGGAAGAGAGGACAGGGAAGCCAAAAACAGAUUCCACAGCAUCUUAAAAAUAGCCAGUAGCAUGUGAAUUGCUCGACUAGCAAGGCCAGGCUCUUGAUGGGUCUGACACAUCUGUGAACCACUGUUUGGCUACUGCCCGACCAUGUCGCAGCCUCCUCCGGAGAGAAAAGCCAGUACCCCUGGCUGCUCCCAGCACUGUCACCCCAAACUCGAAGCAGUGAGACCAGCACCCAGAAGGGGCAGACAGGGAGAAAAUCAGAGGGGGUGAUGGGAAAGGAGAGGCCGCGUGAUCCGCAGGAGACCUCGGAGGCAUUCGGAGACCCAGAGACGAAGGAGGGAAGAGGCGACCUCCAGGAGGACAGACCCUCCAGCCUUUGGGCGGGCGCCGCAGCAGAAAGGGGUGGACCCUCCUUUCAUCUCCCCCCUGCCCACCCCAUCUGAGACUACGCACCCCAAAGCUGCACCUCACCCAGAACACUCAUCAUAAAAACUAAUCACUGUUAGGAAAGAAAAAAUUAUAAAAAGAGGGAACAGAGAAAAGCAUCCCCCCAAAAAGCAAAGGAAAUAUCAAUAGGUAUUAAUAAUAAUUCUAGCUUUUGCUCACUGGAUAGUAAAAUAUAAAUGUUUAUUAUUUUAAGUGAACUAACCCCCAAAUAAAGACAGGAGGCUCCUCGAAGCUGUCUCCUUC